rnacentral:rRNA from 1 species
UUCUCCCUGAGACUAUAAGUCUCCUGAAGGAACGUUAAAGACGAUGACGUUGAUAGGCCGGGUGUGUAAGCGCAGCGAUGCGUUGAGCUAACCGGUACUAAUGAACCUUGAGGCUUAACCUUACAACGCCGAAG